AAACUAACAAGGAUUCCCCUAGUAACGGCGAGUGAAGCGGGAAGAGCUCAACUUUGUAAUCUGGCUGCUUUGCAGUCCGAGUUGUAGUCUAUAGAAGCAUGAUCCGCGCCGGACCUUGGCCAUGUCUGUUGGAAAGCAGUGUCAAAGAGGGUGAUAAUCCCGUACAUACCAAGGACGACCGUGUGCAUUGUGGUCUGCUCUCUAAGAGUCGAGUUGUUUGGGAAUGCAGCUCUAAUCGGGUGGUAAAUUCCAUCUAAAGCUAAAUAUAGACGAGAGACCGAUAGCGAACAAGUACAGUAAUGGAAAGAUGAAAAGUAGCCUGCAGAGGCAAUGAAACAAUACGUGAAACCGUUUGUAGGGAAACGAUGGAACCUUUUCACGCUGCGAGGGCUCAGCCUGGCUUCGGCCUGGUGCAUUCCCUCGUUUUGCGGGCCAGCAUCAGUUUGCUUUGCGGUAUAAGGGUGAUUGGAACGUGGCUCCCUCGGGAGUGUUAUAGCCUUUCACUGGAUGCCGCGUCGCAGACUGAGGACUGCAGUGCGCCGCAAGGCAUUGCCCCCGGGCAACGAGCACUUAGGAUGCUGGUGGAAUGGGUUUCAACGAC
rnacentral:rRNA from 1 species